rnacentral:lncRNA from 1 species
UACUAACAGUGGAAUAUGUAAAUGCUAUUACAAAAACAGAUAUAUUUAGCUGUUUGUAUAUAUAUACACACAUACGCACAUACAGCUGUACAUCUGUACAUAUAUGCACAAAUAGCUAAAUAUAUCUGGUUUAGUAAUAGCAUUUACAUAUUCCUCUGUUAGUAUAUUUCUCCUGGGGUAACUGAUACACACACACACACACACACACACACACACACACACACACACACAGGAAAAACUGAAUUGGGUGGAUACACUAGCAGACUAGCAGUAGAAUUUUAUCUCUGCAUAAUUUGGAUGCGUUGAGAAAAAAAGGAAGUCACUGAAAGAAUAAGGAAAAUAGAGCUCUCUACUAACGUGGAUAAAUCUGCAAAGGAGAGGGAAAUUGUUAAAGGAAGAUAAGAACAUGGAAGUGAUUGAUGAAAUUGACAACAUGAGGGAGUUUUGAGACUUGCACAUGGGUAGUAUCCAGUGAGUUGUGGGAAAUGUAAUUCAAGGAAGAUGAAUUGAAAAAUGAACAAAAAUUUCCAAAAACAGGAGUGCAGAAAAACGCAUCAAGGGAACUAUGACGCCAAGGGAGAAUUUAUUCAUAAGAUGCUGGAAUUAGUAGAGUAUCCUUGGAUACUGGUGGGAGUGACCCAUGGAGGAAAGGCUGAUGAUGGAGAGAAGGGCUAAUUGCAGGAGUGAGAUCCUUCAGAAAGAGUGAUGAGAUGCUAUCCUAAAGGAAUCUGAUAAGGAAAUGAAAAAUGAAUCAUACAUUUGUAACAAGACAGAACACCGAGAUUAUAGAUAUGGAUGUCAGCUUAUUACAAAUUUCAGGAUGGGAGAUUUUCAACUUUAUCAGUGAAGUGUGAUGCAAGAUCAUCAGCUAAGAAUGUUGGGAGUGGGAGCCUUCGGGCCAGAGGAGAAGGCACUUCUCUGAAAAUGAAGAACCAGAAGAAGAUGGGCAUAGGGAAGGAAUCAGAAUUAUUAAGAUGGUGAUGGCUUGGUCUGGGAAUUCAUGUCAAGGAACGGAGGAGCCUUGAUUAUAGGAUGCAGGUUGGUAUAUUUAAUCUCACUCUUACAUAUAAUGCCAUCACUGUAUAAUCACACACACACACACAAUGGGAAUACAAAUCAUGAAACAUCAACAGAAAUGUAACAGCAAAAGAUAAUGUAUGUUUUCUAGACUUGUACCCUGGUUGUGAUUCUAAAAUUUCCUGGCUUCAGAAAGUGGCAUUGGUCUGAUUCAGGUUUAUUCUUGGCUCCCACAUGAAAACAGCAGGCCCAGCCAAAGGCUAAAUUAUGAAUCUUUCAAGUUUGACUUUGGCAAGGCUCCUCCUUUCAGCACUUUCCUCAACUCCAGGACAAAGUGGGGGCUGGGGGAAGAAUGGGGAGGUGUUGACUAAAAAAAGACAAGGCUGUGUGAAGACAUUUUUUUCCAGCAAUAGGGAUGUGAGGAAAUGAUGCAGGACACACCAUCUCUUGGGGUGCAAAUUUCCUACUUUGAGAAACACUGCCUUAAGAGAUAGCUCCAAAAUGUGUUCCCUUUUCUUGUAGGACUAUAGCUGAUGAAAGCAUUUCACCCAGACCCGGAUCAGUGAGAGGGA